rnacentral:lncRNA from 1 species
CCUCCUCUCUCCUUUCCAUCGAAAAUCCCGGGGCAAAAUGGUGGCAAUCGCCGAAAAUUUCUCACGGAGACCCAUCACUGUGACGUCCAAUUUCUCACCGGAAAAGCUUCGCCGGCGACGGAGGUAAGCCUCCUCCCCUUCCUUCCCGUGCCGAUGUGCAUGCUCGCCGGCGAUCGGAGUCGCCGGAUUUUGUUACGGAAGAAAUCCUUCUUUUUGCCAUUUUCCAUCGCCGGUGGUCACCGCCGACCACCGGUUUG